AUGCUCACUUUGUUAGCACAUAUACUACAAUAGGAGCAAUAAAGAGAUUACCAUAGCCCUUGCACAAGGAUGAAAAGCAAAUUCAUGAAACAUUUCAUAGUUUU
ensembl:snRNA U6 U6 spliceosomal RNA